rnacentral:pre_miRNA from 1 species
UUUAUACUCCCUCCGUCCUAAAAUUAUUGUCUUAGGUUUGUUUAGAAAUAGAUGUAUCUAAAUACUAAAACGUGACNNNNNACAUUCAUAUCUAAACAAAUUUAAGACAAGAAUUUUGAGACGGAGGGAGUACUAA